GGAAAGGCGCGCGAUACAGGGUGACAGCCCCGUACACAAAAAUGCACAUGCUGUGAGCUCGAUGAGUAGGGCGGGACACGUGGUAUCCUGUCUGAAUAUGGGGGGACCAUCCUCCAAGGCUAAAUACUCCUGACUGACCGAUAGUGAACCAGUACCGUGAGGGAAAGGCGAAAAGAACCCCGGCGAGGGGAGUGAAAAAGAACCUGAAACCGUGUACGUACAAGCAGUGGGAGCACGCUUAGGCGUGUGACUGCGUACCUUUUGUAUAAUGGGUCAGCGACUUAUAUUCUGUAGCAAGGUUAACCGAAUAGGGGAGCCGAAGGGAAACCGAGUCUUAACUGGGCGUUAAGUUGCAGGGUAUAGACCCGAAACCCGGUGAUCUAGCCAUGGGCAGGUUGAAGGUUGGGUAACACUAACUGGAGGACCGAACCGACUAAUGUUGAAAAAUUAGCGGAUGACUUGUGGCUGGGGGUGAAAGGCCAAUCAAACCGGGAGAUAGCUGGUUCUCCCCGAAAGCUAUUUAGGUAGCGCCUCGUGAAUUCAUCUCCGGGGGUAGAGCACUGUUUCGGCAAGGGGGUCAUCCCGACUUACCAACCCGAUGCAAACUGCGAAUACCGGAGAAUGUUAUCACGGGAGACACACGGCGGGUGCUAACGUCCGUCGUGAAGAGGGAAACAACCCAGACCGCCAGCUAAGGUCCCAAAGUCAUGGUUAAGUGGGAAACGAUGUGGGAAGGCCCAGACAGCCAGGAUGUUGGCUUAGAAGCAGCCAUCAUUUAAAGAAAGCGUAAUAGCUCACUGGUCGAGUCGGCCUGCGCGGAAGAUGUAACGGGGCUAAACCAUGCACCGAAGCUGCGGCAGCGACGCUGAUGCGUUGUUGGGUAGGGGAGCGUUCUGUAAGCCUGCGAAGGUGUGCUGUGAGGCAUGCUGGAGGUAUCAGAAGUGCGAAUGCUGACAUAAGUAACGAUAAAGCGGGUGAAAAGCCCGCUCGCCGGAAGACCAAGGGUUCCUGUCCAACGUUAAUCGGGGCAGGGUGAGUCGACCCCUAAGGCGAGGCCGAAAGGCGUAGUCGAUGGGAAACAGGUUAAUAUUCCUGUACUUGG
rnacentral:rRNA from 1 species